rnacentral:rRNA from 1 species
GUGAGGAAUUUUCCGCAAUGGGCGAAAGCCUGACGGAGCAAUGCCGCGUGAAGGAUGAAGGCCUAUGGGUUGUAAACUUCUUUUAUCAGAAAAGAAUUAUGACGGUAUCUGAGGAAUAAGCAUCGGCUAACUAUGUGCCAGCAGCCGCGGUAAGACAGAGGAUGCAAGCGUUAUCCGGAAUGAUUGGGCGUAAAGCGUCUGCAGGUUGUUUAAAAAGUAUUCUGUCAAAGAUUAGGGCUUAACCCUAGAUAGGCACAAUAAACUUGUAAGAUAGAGUUUGUUAGAGGCAUAGGGAAUUCCCGGUGGAGCGGUGAAAUGCGUAGAUAUCGGGAGGAACACCAAAGGCGAAGGCACUCUGCUGGGCCAAUACUAACACUGAGAGACGAAAGCGAGGGGAGCAAAUGGGAUUAGAAACCCUUGUAGUCC